GAUGGGAUUUCGCCAUGCUGGCCAGGCUGGUCUCAAUCUCUUGACCCUCGUGAUCCACCACCUCGGCCUCCUAGAGUGCUGUGAUUAGAGGCAAGAGCCACUGUGCCCAGCCUCUAUUUAUUUUUUUAUUUAUUUUUAUUUAUUUUGAGAUGAAGUUUUGCUCUUGUUUCCCGGGCUGGAGUCUGAUGACACUAUCUCAGCCCAGUGCAACUUCCACAUUCUGGGUUCAAGUGAUUGUCCUGCCUCAGCCUCCCACGUGGCUGGGGUUACAGGGAUGUACCCCCACGCGUGACUAAUUUUAUAUUUUUAGUAGAGAUAGGGUCUCACAUGUUGGUCAGGUUGGUCUUGAACUCCUGACUUCAGGUGAUCCACCUGCCUCAGCCUCCCAAAGUGCUGGGAUUACAGCCAUGAGCCACUGUGCCAGGCCUGUUUUUAUUUUUUGCAUGACCUAGUUCUGUGGUUGAGUACGAAUGUGGUCUGAAAUCUGAAGAUAACAAAACAAAGAAAGCAGGGGAGUUGGAAAAGAAAACGAAGGGAAGAGUUUGAUGGAAGUUAAGUAUUAUGGUCAAUGCCAAAAUUCAGGAGCAGAAAAAUCACUGGGUAUUCUUACAGCGUUGACGCUUCACCAUGUUACCAAGGCUGGUCUUGAACUCCUGAGCUCGAGCGAUCUGCCUACCUUGGCCUCCCAAAGUGCUGGGAUUAUAGGCACGAGCCACUGCCCCAACCAACAUGAACAAUUAAAAAAAAUUUGUUUGUUUGUUUGCUGUGCUGUCUUUCUUCUAUUGUGAUGCUGCUGUGAGACGAUGUGGAUCAGGGUCUUAAAAACCUUAAAAGUCUUUCAGGCUGGUGUGGUGGCUCAUGUCCGUAAUCUCAGAACUUUGGGAGGCCAAGGCGGGUGGAUCACCAGUGGUCAAUAGUUUGAGACCAGCCCAGCUAACAUGGCGAACCCCAUCUUUACUAAAAAUACAAAAAGUAUCUGGGCAUGGUGCCAGGUGCCUGUAAUCCCAGCUACUUGGGAGGCUAAAGCAGGGAGAAUUGCUUGAACCUGGGAGGCAGAGGUUUCAGGGAGCCGAGAUCAGCCCACAGCACUCCAGCCUGGGUGACAGAGGGAGACUCCAUCUCAAACAAAACAAAACAAAACAAAACAACAACAAAAGUCUUUCAAAGCCAAAAUGUUCUGAGGCACUGUGUUAAAGCCUAGAGCUCCAGCUGAAGCUAGUGCCUGAGUCCAGAUGAUGUUGAAGAAGGAGCAGGGCCCAGAGGGCACCACUCUCAGAAGCCAGGCUCAAAUGUUUCUUACCUCCACCCCAAGAUGACCCAAGAAGACAGAGUUCCUCAGACUCCCAGUGUCCCUAGGAGGUGGCAACCUUGACUCCUGGCCAGAGUUCAGAGUCCUGGUUGUUAACACCAAUAAACCUUUAUAUGCCAGGGAUACUACCAUGAGAAGACAUGGUCCCUGAGCCCAGCCCUGCUGAUCCUGUGGGAGGGGGAGGACAGCAGAGGACAAAGGCAGAGACCUGAGUGCUGGAGAGACUCAGCAAAGGGCCCCCAGCCAUUCUCAGGAAUGGAGCAUUUCUUGGUAGAGUGGUAUUCCUGAAAUAGUUUGGAAAGCUGGGGCAGGGGAGCCUGAGGACACAGCAAGGAGCUCAGUGGCAGGAGCAGGCAGAGCAAUCUUUGAAGAAUGGAGGUCCUGAGAGGUGAGGGCCUUGAGCACCAGCGUCCAGCCUUAGCGGGUAUGCAUAUGUUCAGCUCCCUGAGGACCCAUUCAGGGCAGCUAGGGUGCACAUAAGUCCAGGGGCUUCCCUGUGCUCUGCCCUCCCUCCCCACCCCGCCACCCGGUAGCAGGUUGAGGGCCCAGGCCAUACUGGGUAGUGGGAGAAAUGGAAAGAAAUGGGACAGGAACAGGAGACAAGAGCCCAUGGUGGAAGUCAAAGAGCUGGAAGAGUUUUGGAAAUGGGAGUCUGGGGGAAGAAUUGAUCAAGGGGCGAGUUACCCAGCUGGACAGGUGGGAGGCAAGAGGCCCUGGCAGCUUUGUUUUAUUGGCCGGGCUUGGAGAGGAAAGUGGGUAGCCGUCUGGCGCCUGAAGGCCCGCUCUGGACCUCCCCACCGAGGGAGGUGUCGGGUCCCC
rnacentral:lncRNA from 1 species